AGUUCGGCAACUUCUUUUCUGAUUCGCAGUAAUCUUCUGCAGAUGAAAAGGGAACAGGUCUUAUGUUUAAGCAGGACUAAGGAUGACUAAGGAGCUCAAUG